UGGGCUAUAGCCAAGCGGUAAGGCAACGGACUUUGACUCCGUCAUGCGCUGGUU
rnacentral:tRNA from 1 species